rnacentral:rRNA from 1 species
GACGAACGCUGGCGGCGUGCUUAACACAUGCAAGUCGAACGGAAAGGCCCUGCUUUUGUGGGGUGCUCGAGUGGCGAACGGGUGAGUAACACGUGAGUAACCUGCCCUUGACUUUGGGAUAACUUCAGGAAACUGGGGCUAAUACCGGAUAGGAGCUCCUGCUGCAUGGUGGGGGUUGGAAAGUUUCGGCGGUUGGGGAUGGACUCGCGGCUUAUCAGCUUGUUGGUGGGGUAGUGGCUUACCAAGGCUUUGACGGGUAGCCGGCCUGAGAGGGUGACCGGCCACAUUGGGACUGAGAUACGGCCCAGACUCCUACGGGAGGCAGCAGUGGGGAAUAUUGCACAAUGGGCGGAAGCCUGAUGCAGCAACGCCGCGUGCGGGAUGACGGCCUUCGGGUUGUAAACCGCUUUCGCCUGUGACGAAGCGUGAGUGACGGUAAUGGGUAAAGAAGCACCGGCUAACUACGUGCCAGCAGCCGCGGUGAUACGUAGGGUGCGAGCGUUGUCCGGAUUUAUUGGGCGUAAAGGGCUCGUAGGUGGUUGAUCGCGUCGGAAGUGUAAUCUUGGGGCUUAACCCUGAGCGUGCUUUCGAUACGGGUUGACUUGAGGAAGGUAGGGGAGAAUGGAAUUCCUAGUGGAGCGGUGGAAUGCGCAGAUAUCAGGAGGAACACCAGUGGCGAAGGCGGUUCUCUGGGCCUUUCCUGACGCUGAGGAGCGAAAGCGUGGGGAGCGAACAGGCUUAGAUACCCUGGUAGUCCACGCUGUAAACGGUGGGUACUAGGUGUGGGGUCCAUUCCACGGGUUCCGUGCCGUAGCUAACGCUUUAAGUACCCCGCCUGGGGAGUACGGCCGCAAGGCUAAAACUCAAAGGAAUUGACGGGGCCCCGCACAAGCGGCGGAGCAUGCGGAUUAAUUCGAUGCAACGCGUAGAACCUUACCUGGGUUUGACAUGGAUCGGGAGCGCUCAGAGAUGGGUGUGCCUCUUUUGGGGUCGGUUCACAGGUGGUGCAUGGCUGUCGUCAGCUCGUGUCGUGAGAUGUUGGGUUAAGUCCCGCAACGAGCGCAACCCUUGUUCACUGUUGCCAGCACGUUAUGGUGGGGACUCAGUGGAGACCGCCGGGGUCAACUCGGAGGAAGGUGGGGAUGACGUCAAGUCAUCAUGCCCCUUAUGUCCAGGGCUUCACGCAUGCUACAAUGGCUGGUACAGAGAGUGGCGAGCCUGUGAGGGUGAGCGAAUCUCGGAAAGCCGGUCUCAGUUCGGAUUGGGGUCUGCAACUCGACCUCAUGAAGUCGGAGUCGCUAGUAAUCGCAGAUCAGCAACGCUGCGGUGAAUACGUUCCCGGG